CGCUGGAGCAGGCUAGAGCUGAGCCCGACUGAAGGGAGGACAGGAAGGAUGCAGAAGUCUGAAGUAAGGAUGAAGGUGAGCCGGGGGACAGAGGAAAUGUCUCGCUAAGGGGCUGAGAGCAGGGAUCAGAAGAAAGAAAGAUGGGAUGAAGUCAGCUGAGAAAGGAGGGCUAGGGAACUGAGGGUACCUGUCCUGCUCAGCCUCAGUCCACCUUUCCAUAUGAAUUCUCAAAAUUUGGGAAUUCAUAAAUAAUAUCCCUGAAGACACAAUAGAAAAUGUUUCCAAGUCAUAAAGGAUAUGGCUAACAGAACUGAAAUGUUUUGAAACACAUUGUUUGUUUGCUCUUUGGAGGAGAGGACCAGAUGGCUGGUUGUGGUUUUUAAAUUGUGUGUUGUGUCUCCCCCCCCCCCCCAUGUAUCAGCUGUGGCACCCAACAUUCUUUCAUUCAGUAAUAUUGUAUCACAUUGUGAGACGUGCAGCUGAUGGUCUGUUUAAUAAAAUCAUUUCUUUCCAGUUCUCCUUUUAAAGGUAGCUGUUUAUCGUGGGUUUAUCAUGCAUGUCAUACAGCAACCAGAUUCUCAAUGAUGCCAACCGCAGAGGGUUGACGAGUGUUUCAGUUCAGCUCCCACACAAUAACCUUCAAAGAUAUGAAAGCUGGUAGAAAGCAGAUAAAAUAGACACACUGGUAGAUUUUGCAAAGUCUUCUGAAUUGGCUACCAAUGGAUAGCUCUCCCAGAAAGCCAGUGAAAUUUGAGAGCUGCUGCGUGGAAGUAUAACCCUGUGAUUCCUGCAUUGCAGGGGAUUCGACUAGAUGACCCUCAGGGUCCCUACCAACACUAUGAUUCUAUGAAACAUAAUUCUUUGAGGACAUUGUUCUUGUGUCUGUGAGAAAGAGACGCUUCGGGAAACAUAUAUCUAGUAGAUACUUGCAAUCAGUGAAAUGUAGAGGGCAUCUUUUCUGCAGAAAGUGUUCUGUGAGUUUGCUGGUUUCUCUGAUUUAGUUGUCAUGGUUGUUGCAAUUCUGAAAGCCAAAUAACAGACGGUGGCCUGAUUCGCAUGUCAUGUCAAGCCAAACCAUGGCAUAGUGCAAAUGCACAAAUGUGCAGGCUUCAGGAAAUCCUGGCCACGUCACUCUUCCCCAGUCAAUUUGCUGCUGCACUGAGCUAAGGCAUAGAAUCAUAACAUUGUAGAGUUGGAAGGUAUCUCCACAUGUCAUGUGGUUCAGCCCCUUGCUCUGCAGGAAUCUCAACUAAAGCAUCCAUGACAGAUGGCUAUGGUUUGACUUAACAUGUUGCCUAGACAAGAGCUCAUUGUUUAGCCCUCCUAGACAAAUCAGAAACCAUAGGAUAGACCUUGCUUUCAGCACAUGGUUAGUCUGGAGAGAGGUAAACCACAAGCCUGGGUUUAGAAUAGCCAAUACCACCAUUUGGAGGAGGGCCUGAUCCGUUUGGGGCAGAAGUUGCUGCUCUGUGUCAGUGCUGAGACCUGCAGCAGAUGGCAUUGACAAUGCAUCGUGUUCUGCUCAAUUUAUUAGCUGGCUUGGGAAGUUUCUGGCACACUGCACGCCAUACCACCAGACUGGUAAGUUAGAUGCUUAAGGGAAGAGUUGGCAAUAUUACCAGCCUCUCCCAUUUUGUAAACCUUCAACGUCUUCCCCAGAUUAUUUUGAAAAUUAUACACAUUUUCCACCGCGCUCUUCAGAAGAUGCCUUUUAUCAACAUUCAAAUGAUCUUUAAAUAGCCCGUUUUUAUAGGUAUUAUUUUAAGAGGCUGGAAUUUAUGCAACCAACAUGUUGGCAAUGAAAUUUCUGCCACCUGUUUUCCCUACAAGCGGAUCAAAACAUCCACUUUGGCUUGCAAUUAUCCACUUCCAUUUACUUUCUUGUAUGUCAUAAUUCUUCCGUUUGCGUUCCCAGUAAUAGUGAGGAAUCAGAUAUUUCCGACUACUGAAAAGCCAUGCAAAAACACCGAACAAAGAGAAACUACCAGCCAAUUAGAC